rnacentral:misc_RNA from 1 species
AAAAUGCGAUAAGUAAUGUGAAUUGCAGAAUUCAGUGAAUCAUCGAAUCUUUGAACGCACAUUGCGCCCGCCAGUAUUCUGGCGGGCAUGCCUGUUCGAGCGUCAUUUCAACCCUCAAGCCCAGCUUGGUGUUGGGACUCGCGAGUCAAAUCGCGUUCCCCAAAUUGAUUGGCGGUCACGUCGAGCUUCCAUAGCGUAGUAGUAAAACCCUCGUUACUGGUAGGGAUACCCGCUGAACUUAA